GAUGAACGCUGGCGGCGUGCCUAAUACAUGCAAGUCGAGCGGACGGACGAGAAGCUUGCUUCUCUGAUGUUAGCGGCGGACGGGUGAGUAACACGUGGAUAACCUACCUAUAAGACUGGGAUAACUUCGGGAAACCGGAUCUAAUACCGGAUAAUAUUUUGAACCGCAUGGUUCAAAAGUGAAAGACGGUCUUGCUGUCACUUAUAGAUGGAUCCGCGCUGCAUUAGCUAGUUGGUAAGGUAACGGCUUACCAAGGCAACGAUGCAUAGCCGACCUGAGAGGGUGAUCGGCCACACUGGAACUGAGACACGGUCCAGACUCCUACGGGAGGCAGCAGUAGGGAAUCUUCCGCAAUGGGCGAAAGCCUGACGGAGCCACGCCGCGUGAGUGAUGAAGGUCUUCGGAUCGUAAAACUCUGUUAUUAGGGAAGAACAUAUGUGUAAGUAACUGUGCACAUCUUGACGGUACCUAAUCAGAAAGCCACGGCUAACUACGUG
rnacentral:rRNA from 1 species